CAAGUUGUAUCCUAAGAGGAAUUGUUAUUUACAUUAAUAAAUUUAGUUGUGCAAUUCAACUCGACUUGA
rnacentral:tRNA from 1 species